rnacentral:misc_RNA from 1 species
UAUUACCAGUGUGUAAUUCUGCACACAGUGUUGUGGGUCAGAGGUCACGGACCAUGUGCUGUGAGUAAUGAAGUGAACUCUGAGUGUUGUGCUGCAGUUUUGGGUAAUUUCUACUGUCUGCCAAGGAGAAUUGCUCCAUAACUUGUGAUCUUUUCAGGAGAAGACAUCUGGAUAAUGUAGCAUCAAGAAAAACACUGCCACAGAAUUCCAUAGAGAUCAUCCGCCUGUGUUGUUGGGCAGACGGACUCGACUCGAGCAGACGGACUCCGGAAGGUGACUUGACUUCCUUCUCCGACCAGGGAUUGUAGGAUUGUGGUCUGUUGUCGGAAAUUGUCCUACUAAGUCAGUGAAUGUGUUAGUGUGGCCUGAGCUCGGACUGCGGACUGGACAACUGUCAGUUGCCGACGUGUGUGACGGAUCACAGGAAAUAGAUCCCAACACUAUUGGACUAUACUGCAUUACAUUCAACAGAAGGACGUGGAGAGGCUAGCUUCACACUGGCACUGGUGUGAUAGUUCUGUGGGAAAUAUAACGGGGCCACUGGAGGUGAUUUCUUUAACCUAGGAUCACAAGAGGUCUUGCUCCAGAUUGUGUUGAUCAGGGAGCUGCAAUGGUCUACAUGUUUCGGCAAACACAAGGGGAUUGGACAGUAAGGAAGGAAGGCAUUGGAGGCAGAAUGACCAUGAUCUUCCUAAGUCAUUCAAGGCUUCUGGAAAGUGGAGUUCCGGUUUCUUGAGACAUCAAAACCUAACAAUGUAAGUGGAAGACCCAUAUUGUGCUUCCAGCAGCAGAAGAAACAAAGGUCAAUUCUUUCAUCAGUUUGUGCUGUGCAAAAGAAAGAAGGCAGAGACCUAAGGUGGAUUUUUAAGCAUGAAAACACCUCCAUUUUGCACAAGCCUUGGACAGUCGACACACAGCAGAUUUUCACUUUGACAAUUUGCAUGUGUGAGUGGGAAAAGAGCACUUCACUAUGGUGUGGGAUUGUGUGGCAGAUGAAACUGAACUGUCACCAUGUUUAUCUUAAAAUGAAUGCCAUUGUAGUUCCUCAGUGGAGGUCACAGUACAGGAGAAAGCAUGGAAGGAUGAAUCCAUUGUGCACAGAGUGACAAUGUCUGGAUGAAGAGACCAGGAGAUUCAAGAGACUGUAAGUCCCUGCUUGUGUGGGACAUGUUCUGGGAUCAUUGAGAAAAGAAGUUGACAAACAGCAAGACAACCAAGGCAAUGAUCACAGAUGACUGCACACAACACCUGCAGCCAUUAGACGUCAAGAUCAUGAGGAUCAAAUGGAACAAAUGGAUGGUGAACAGCACUUCCACACAUAGACAAGGCAAGAACCAAGGAACGGUCACCUACUAGUUGUUGCCAACUGGAUGAAGGCAGCAUGAAAGGAACUACCUAAGAACAUGGCACAGCAUAGUCUAUUUUCAACUGUGGCAUUGUAAAUGUGAUGAAAAGGGUGCCAGAUGAUUGUGUGAUCAAAGAUUUGGUUAAGUCAUCCCAAGGUGAGUGACCUGCGAAUGUGUGCAUAGUGGCUGACGUCCCUGAUGGCUUCUAAGAUGAACUCAACAGCUACUAAGAUGAACUCAACAGCUACUAAGAUGAACUCAACAGCUACUAUAGUCUGUUUGCAGUGAAAACGUACCGAUGAAUUUCAAUUUAAACAAAAAAGUAAAUCGAAUAAAGUGGAAUUAUGAUUGCGAAUC